UACGUAGGGCGCAAGCGUUAUCCGGAAUUAUUGGGCGUAAAGAGCUCGUAGGCGGUUUGUCGCGUCUGCCGUGAAAGUCCGGGGCUCAACUCCGGAUCUGCGGUGGGUACGGGCAGACUAGAGUGAUGUAGGGGAGACUGGAAUUCCUGGUGUAGCGGUGAAAUGCGCAGAUAUCAGGAGGAACACCGAUGGCGAAGGCGGAUCUCUGGGCCUUGCCUGACGCUGAGGCGCGAAAGCUAGGGGAGCGAACAGG
rnacentral:rRNA from 1 species